AGGACUGGAGACAAAUGCAAAGGCCCCAGCACGUGCCUGGCACACAGUAGGCCUCGCCUCCGUGGGCGUCCUUGGCUCACUCGCUGCAUCCCUUGCACCCUAAGGUCUCAAAGGCUACCUGGUCAUACUGAUCGGGGUCUUGGUGGCCUUCGUCUUGCUCCUCUUCCUCCUUGUCUUCCUCCUCAUCCGACACCAGCGCCAGGGGAAAAGCCGGAAGUCAGGGGCUGCAGAUCCAGUGGCCCAUGGCAGAGGCCUGCGGUGGAGGUAACUGCUCCCCAAAGACCCCAGCCUCCCCUCGCCAGCGGCUCCCUCUCUCCCCUGACACUCCUCUCUCCUUCCAGCUGCUGUCCAGCUGCUGGCCCGCCGGAAGAAAGCCUCUGUGAGAGGACAGGAGGGGCCUUGCUGGGGGGAGAUGGGGCCCAGGGAUAUCUACUGGUAAUGGGGGGUGGGGGCCAGAUAGGCUGGGAGGACCCCAGGCCGAAAUGGGUGUUGCGCGCUCCCAGGCAUCACCGUCGACUGGGGAUCACAGCUGCCCAACCUAGAAUGGGGGCGGGCGACCCCAGGGACCCUCGCCAAGCGGUGACCGCCCCUCCCGUCCCCCCCACCAGACGCUGACGUGAGAGACAAGCCUCCUGAGGAGGAUGUGGAGCUGCACAGCCAGGUGAGCUUCCCGCUGCCCAAGAGCGGGCGGCUCGCCUCCGCCCUCCCGCUGCCCGGCUCGCGCCGCUGCCCGCAGCUGACCGCUCCUUCUGGAGAGCCCUGCGCCUCGCUGCUGGGACCCCACUGUCUCCUGGCUGUCUCGCCCUAGAUCCUCUCCUCUCUUUGACAGAAGGUCCAGGUCUCAAGGGAAUACGUGAGCAAGCCGUCCCCUAGGCCCCCUCACUCAUUCAGCAGGAUGUAGGGGGAGCCCGCUCUUUACCAGGCUGCGGAAAAGGCAGGCAGCAGGGCUCUCUCACGUCCAGGGGGCGAGGGGCGAUAUGCAAGCAAAUUCAGCGUCCAGGAGGGUAAAGUGCCAUGAGGGAAAGGGAAGCCAGGUGGUGGGGCAGCGAGGCUCCAACAAGGACGGGCGCCCUAAGCGGUGGCAUCUGAGGAGAGCCCCGCACGGCGCCGUCCAGCUGCGGAAGAGCGGGCACACGCAGGAGAGCGUAAGCCGCGAGCCGGGGCGGCUGAGCCCCAGGAGCAAGGACGGGAGGGUUAGCGAAGAGGCGGGGGCUGCGCGGAGUCCCCGCAGAUUC
rnacentral:lncRNA from 1 species